GAUGAACGCUGGCGGCGUGCCUAAUACAUGCAAGUCGAGCGAACGGACGAGAAGCUUGCUUCUCUGAUGUUAGCGGCGGACGGGGGAGUAACACGUGGAUAACCUACCUAUAACACUGGGAUAACUUCGGGAAACCGGAGCUAAUACCGGAUAAUAUUUUGAACCGCAUGGUUCAAAAGUGAAAGACGGUCUUGCUGUCACUGAUAGAUGGAUCCGCGCUGCAUUAGCUAGUUGGUAAGGUAACGGCUUACCAAGGCAACGAUGCAUAGCCGACCUGAGAGGGUGAUCGGCCGCACUGGAACUGAGACACGGUCCAGACUCCUACGAGAGGCAGCAGUAGGGAAUCUUCCGCAAUGGGCGAAAGCAUGACGGAGCAACGCCGCGUGAGUGAUGAAGGUCUUCGGAUCGUAAAACACUGUUAUUAGGGAAGAACAUAUGUGUAAGUAACUGUGCACAUCUUGACGGUACCUAAUCAGAAAGCCCCGGCUAACUACGUG
rnacentral:rRNA from 1 species